GUGCUCGCUUCGGCAGCACAUAUACGAAAAUUGGAACGAUACAGAGAAGAUUAGCAUGGCCCCUGCGCAAGGAUGUCAAGGACAACUCCUGUGAAAACUAUGGCUGAC